ACCUGGGUGGCUCAAUCGUUAAGCAUCUGACUUCAGCUCAGGUCAUGAUCUCACAGUUUGUGGGUUCGAGCCCCGCAUCAGGCU
rnacentral:tRNA from 1 species